rnacentral:lncRNA from 1 species
GGAAAGUUCUUCUAAAUGGCGGCGGUGGGAAGGAGGGGCAGCACUUCCGCUGGUGUCUCUGCACUUUCUCUCUGACUCUGGAAUUUCCAUUUCUAAACCUCAGCUGAUCUGCCUGCAAGAAAAAAGAGAAAUGCCGUGGAUUCCAGAUGUAAGGGAAAUUCAGGAUGAAGAGGACCAAAGCACUUGACCAAAUGGAAUGGACAGCAGUCAAGAACUCGUUGAAGAUCAGGAUGUUGAAUCAAAGAUUCUCACAACAUACAACUGAAGGAGAAAAUAAAAUGAAAACUAUAGAAAGCAAGAAAUUUUGAGGUGGCUCACAAGAACAGGAGAGAAAAAAUGAGGAGGAGACAUUUCAG